rnacentral:rRNA from 1 species
GAACUUUCCAGAGAUGGAUUGGUGCCUUCGGGAACGUCUGACACAGGUGCUGCAUGGCUGUCGUCAGCUCGUGCGUGAGAUGUUGGGUUAAGUCCCGUAACGAGCGCAACCCUUGUCCUUAGUUACCAGCACGUUAUGGUGGGCACUCUAAGGAGACUGCCGGUGACAAACCGGAGGAAGGUGGGGAUGACGUCAAGUCAUCAUGGCCCUUACGGCCUGGGCUACACACGUGCUACAAUGGUCGGUACAAAGGGUUGCCAAGCCGCGAGGUGGAGCUAAUCCCAUAAAACCGAUCGUAGUCCGGAUCGCAGUCUGCAACUCGACUGCGUGAAGUCGGAAUCGCUAGUAAUCGUGAAUCAGAAUGUCACGGUGAAUACGUUCCCGGGCCUU